rnacentral:lncRNA from 1 species
GUCAAACAAUACGUUACCUUAUUAAAACUGAAAUUAAUUCACAAGCAAGACAAAUAAGCAUAAAUAAAGCAAAACAGAAUGCUUCAUUGAUGUAAAUACAAUCUACUAAGCACGUUAAUUUUUUGGUUGCACCAAUUUAACGUAACUUCAUUACUUACAUUAUUCCUAAAGCCACAUAAACUAAAAAAUUCUACCUAAAACAACAAAGCAUAUGUCUGUCACACGUGCCACCUAUAUAAAAGUCACACCAAUUGUGGUUUUUUAGAGGACAAAAACUAGCGAGUGCCUUGUUGAUCUUUAUGUAUCCCAUGCUCAACACUUCUCUUUUGAACUUUCUUGAGAAUAACAUCAAACAGUACAAGCACAAAACAAUAGAAAAACUUAAAGAGCUACCUUUAUCCAUUCAAUCUGUUUCUCUCUUUUUGUCUUUAAGCUUAUCAGCUACCUUGAACAUCAAUGGACAAGGUUUGCUUUGCUCUUUACCCCAUUUCUUUUUGUUUUUUGUUUGGAUUUUCUGAUUUUUCUGGGUUAUAGGAAGAGAAGAAGAAAUCAGAAGAAGUGACACAAUUUAUAUAGUGAUGAUGGUUAGCAAUCUUCAAAUUGAAACAAGAAAUUAAGUCCUCUGUAAUUGGUACUAAAAGGUUUGUUCUAUAUUGGGUAUUUGCUAGUACAUUGAAAUUGGAGAUUGAACAUCGUUUGGUCUUGAUUUAGCAAUGAUUUUGGAGUUCCUGAAUUAUGCCAACGCUCCUGGCUUUAUGUAUGUACGACAUUGAAGAUCUCAAAUUCCUUCUUCUUAUCUUAGAGUUUCAUUUUAUAUUUUGGAACGUGGGUUGGAAUUGGAGAAGAACAGUUUUUGGAUGAAGGACGGGACUGUGCUUCUGUGAUAGUUGAGUCGGUGGCUAUCCUUUUAACUAUUUUUGGGCUAUAAAAUGCAUACUGCAAUUUGGUGGCCAACGACUGAUAUUAGUUUCUAGCGGUUGUCCAUACAUGGAGUUUCCUCUACUAAAAUCUAUGCGCCCCUAACACAAGCACACAUGAAUAAUUUGAUUACAUUCAUAAACAUAUGAAUCAAACUAGGAUAGGCUACAAGAUUGAAUUCAUAAAAUCAUGUUGUUUAUUUGUUACAAAAUGAUCACAAAAAAGAUAUUUAGAAAUUAUGAACCCCAAAUCAACAAAGACAUAUUCCCUAGCCUAAUAUAGUAGAAUAACACAAAUACAUGCCUAAGCAUUUCCAGGUCCAAGACAGUUUUCAAAUUCUACUUUUCUGAGAAUCAACAUUAAUGAUAUUAUAAUGUAGUUUUGGCCCGUAAGUAAAUACAACAGGCUAAAAUGUUAAAGGAAUUGCUUAUCAACUACAAGCAGAUGCAACAAUUAAAAUUUUCAAUUCUGGAGUUUGGAAUGCAAUGUUUCUCAAUUGUAUCUGCUCAAUUUUUACAAAAGAAAAUUAUAGACUUAAUCUAUUACACCAAGAUUUUGAAAAUUCUGAGUUUACAAUAAUAAAUCAUCAUAAAUUCUGGUGUUACCAAAUUAAAUUGCUUCCUCUCAUGUCUUUUGGAAUCAGACAAUUCAAUCUCAAACAUCCAGGGCUUUAACAAAUGAAUCACCUAUAAUAUGAACUUCCCAAAUAUUUUUGACUGAAAUGUGAUGCUUCUCUCCUUUACGCAAACAACAAAUGUGCUUAUAAGCCAAAUGAUUAUGAACACACGAAUUUCACUUUUAGCAAGUAGUAUUAGGAAAAGUAAUAGCCCUGCCAAUGCAGUAAGACAUGCUUAUGUUUCAGGAAACUAAGCUUAACAAGCAAUCUUACUCUAGUUAAUAUUACCAAUAGUUCUAUCUAAUACAAAGACUAUGCAAGGAAAUAAGUUCAAAUAUCGACCAAUCAAUUCACAAACAGACAUAAAAUCAUGUAAGAGCAACAAACAGUCAUAACUCUAUAUUAAACAGAAAACUUUGAAUAUGCUAAAGAUCAGAGUUGUAUAGAAUCAUAGGGGGUGUACCUAAUUGCCAAGAAAACAACAGAAAACCAAAAAAUAAGUCUCUAAAUGAGCAAGAAUAUCAGUAAGAUAACAACUUCAAAUCAACAUCACAAAUCCAACAGCUCAACCAAAGGAAAAACCCAGAAAACAAGUGAAAACAUGAAGCCAAACAUACUUCUAUUCCUCUUUUUUGCUCUGAAGAAUUUGCAAAGUAAAAAUUUAGACUGUUUCUUUCAACGUGAAGGGAAAAUCAACCUAUAGUGUGCGUGUCUUUUGUGUGUCUCGUAGAGAAUUAGUGAGUGGGUGAGGGAAGGAAUGUUAGACCAUAUAUAGGAAAAGGUGAGGAAAUAAUUCUGGGGAAUGCAGUCCUUAAAAAUAACGAGAAAUGGGAUCUUUUAAAACAGAAUUGGACAACUGUUGGACAGCUAUCCAUUAAGAUAUUUACUAAAAAAAUUUCAGCCCUUUUAUCUUACUGAAAUUAACCCUUUUAACCUCAAAAUCUGAUCUAAUUUCUGGUUUUUAUUGGACUUUAGUCCCUUCUAGAGACUUUCCCAAACAACCAGCUCAGAUUCCUUAAUUUUUCAUGUUCCUUUGAUCCCUUUAGCUUUAGUUAAUUACAAACAACUAUCUAAGAAACUUAAUGGGAUAAAAAGUCACAGCAAAGUAGGACAAAAUUUGACUUUGACCCAUUUUAGGUGAUUAAUGUAAGAUAUAUGGACUUAUAUCUACAUGCAUAUGAACAAUAUAUGGAUAAAUUAUAUGUUA